CGCAUCUGUGCAUGCAGCAUAUCAAUAAGCGGAGGAAAAGAAACUAACAAGGAUUCCCCUAGUAACGGCGAGUGAAGCGGGAAGAGCUCAAAUUUGAAAUCUUAAAGGGUUUCCCUUUACGAAUUGUAGUUUAAAGAAGUGUUUUCUGUUGAGGUUUUGGUAAGAGUUCUUUGGAAUAGGACAUCAUAGAGGGUGAGAAUCCCGUAUUUGACCUUUACUUUCAACUUUGUGAUACACUUUCAAAGAGUCGGAUUGUUUAGGGAAUGCAGUCCAAAAUGGGUGGUAAAUUUCAUCUAAAGCUAAAUAUUGGCGAGAGACCGAUAGCGAACAAGUACCGUGAGGGAAAGAUGAAAAGAACUUUGAAAAGAGAGUUAAACAGUACGUGAAAUUGUCAAAAGGGAAGCGUUUGACACCAGUGUUGUUUUUCUGAAAAUCAAUUAAAGAACUGUUUAUGCUAAGCUGUUUAGACUUUAUCAGCUAUCUGUUUAGUUUUAGGCUUUUCUUUAAUGCACUUUUCAGUUAACAAGUCAACAUCAAUUUCUUUUGCUGUAAAAAAGCUUGAGGAAGGUGGCUUGAGAUUCGUCUUAAGUGUUUAUAGCCUCUUGCCUAUGCAGUCGGAGAGAUUGAGGUCUGCAGCGUAGAUCCUUCGGGGCUAAAUGCAUUUGUGCUAAGUUAUAGCAUUUUAUAGACAACUUGUUGACUAUGAUUUGUCUUGUAGCUUACUCGCUUAUGUUAUUUUACCUACGCUUAGGAUGUUGAACGCGCACAGAGUCUC
rnacentral:rRNA from 1 species